GUGGGGAAUAUUGGGCAAUGGGCGAAAGCCUGACCCAGCAACGCCGCGUGAGGGAAGAAGGUUUUCGGAUUGUAAACCUCUGUCCUUGGUGACGAACACAAUGACGGUAGCCAAGGAGGAAGCCCCGGCUAACUACGUGCCAGCAGCCGCGGUAAUACGUAGGGGGCAAGCGUUGUCCGGAAUGACUGGGCGUAAAGGGCGUGUAGGCGGCCGAUUAAGUCUGGAGUGAAAGUCCUGCUUUCAAGGUGGGAAUUGCUUUGGAGACUGGUUGGCUUGAGUGCGGAAGAGGAAAGUGGAAUUCCCAGUGUAGCGGUGAAAUGCGUAGAUAUUGGGAAGAACACCAGUGGCGAAGGCGACUUUCUGGACGAUGUCUGACGCUGAGGCGCGAAAGCUAGGGGAGCGAACGGGAUUAGAAACCCUUGUAGUCC
rnacentral:rRNA from 1 species